rnacentral:rRNA from 1 species
AUUGAACGCUGGCGGCAGGCCUAACACAUGCAAGUCGAACGAGUGGCGGACGGGUGAGUAAUGUCUGGGAAACUGCCCGAUGGAGGGGGAUAACUACUGGAAACGGUAGCUAAUACCGCAUACCAUCGGAUGUGCCCAGAUGGGAGUAGCUAGUAGGUGGGGUAACGGCGAACCUAGGCGACGAUCCCUAGCUGGUCUGAGAGGAUGACCAGACACACUGGAAAUGAGACACGGUACAGACUCCUACGGGAGGCAGGAGUGGGGAAAAUUGCACAAUGGGCGAAAGCCUGCUGCAGCCAUGCCGCGUGUGUGAAGAAGGCCUUCGGGUUGUAAAGUACUUUCAGCGCGGAGGCGUUACUCGCAGAAGAAGCACCGGCUAACUCCGUGCCAGCAGCCGCGGUAAUUC